GAUGAACGCUGGCGGCGUGCCUAAUACAUGCAAGUCGAGCGAACGGACGAGAAGCUUGCUUCUCUGAUGUUAGCGGCGGACGGGUGAGUAACAUGAGGAUAACCUACCUAUAAGACUGGGAUAACUUCGGGAAACCGGAGCUAAUACCGGAUGAUAUUUUGAACCGCAGGGUUCAAAAGUUAAAGACGGUCUUGCUGUAACUUCUAGAUGGAUCCGCGCUGCAUUAGCUAGUUGGUAAGGUAACGGCUUACCAAGGCAACGAUGCAUAGCCGACCUGAGAGGGUGAUCGGCCACACUGGAACUGAGACACGGUCCAGACUCCUACGGGAGGCAGCAGUAGGGAAUCUUCCGCAAUGGGCGAAAGCCUGACGGAGCAACGCCGCGUGAGUGAUGAAGGUCUUCGGAUCGUAAAACUCUGUUAUUAGGGAAGAACAUAUGUGUAAGUAACUGUGCACAUCUUGACGGUACCUAAUCAGAAAGCCACGGCUAACUACGUG
rnacentral:rRNA from 1 species